CUACGGGUGGCAGCAGUGGGGAAUAUUGCGCAAUGGAGGAAACUCUGACGCAGCCAUGCCGCGUGAGUGACGAAGGCCUUAGGGUUGUAAAGCUCUUUCAGAUGUGAUGAUGAUGACAGUAGCAUCAAAAGAAGUUCCGGCUAACUUCGUGCCAGCAGCCGCGGUAAUACGAAGGGAACUAGCGUUGUUCGGAUUUACUGGGCGUAAAGAGCACGUAGGCGGAUUGGUCAGUUGGGGGUGAAAGCCCGGAGCUCAACUCCGGAACUGCCUUCAAUACUGCCAGUCUAGAGUCCGUAAGGGGGUGGUGGAAUUCCGAGUGUAGAGGUGAAAUUCGUAGAUAUUCGGAGGAACACCAGUGGCGAAGGCGACCACCUGGUACGGUACUGACGCUGAGGUGCGAAAGCGUGGGGAGCAAACAGGAUUAGAUACCCCGGUAGUC
rnacentral:rRNA from 1 species